GACUUUGAAGGUCAGAGACGGACACCAUGCUUGCAGGGACAGAGUAGCUCUGCAGGCUAGGGUAGGGUGUUAGGCCUGGAGAGAGCCCUUGGGCCUUGUAACAUAUUUCGCUGGCUUGGCUAGGGUGGAGGAGAGAAGGGCCACAGCCAUCCCCUACUGUGCUCAGCAGGACACCCUUCUCUUCGUGUUCCCUGGACAGAGCCUCUAUAGGCAGGUAACUAGCUGAGAGAAGGAUCAAGAAACAUUAUAGCAAGCCUGGAGUUCAACAGGCUUGAAAUUGGCCUCAGGGCACCACUGAUGAGGCUGGAGUGGGAGCCACUGAAGCAAUAAAGAUGCGUUCCCACCCCAGGUUUCAGAGAGUAACAGGCAGAGGCUUUGUAGAACACAGGACCGCAGACCUUGGGUGCGGACGGGGGUGUGCAGGAAGAGUGAAGCUCUGAACGGUUGGAAGAGAGGAGGCCAAGAGAGGCCACACGGAGGCACCAGGCAGUUUGCAUGGGCACCCCGCUAAAGAAGCAGACACAGGCCAGCCACCUGCUGGGAUGGAGGAGGGAGGAGCCCUUGGGAACCUUCCAGAGGACUGACGGGAACAGUGAUGGCAGGUCCCAGGCAGACAGAAACUUCUUGAGUCACAGGGUUAUGCAAGUGCUGUAGGCAGCAGUGACAAAGAGCUGGAUUAUGGCGUAGGCAGGCUUGGCCAGCAGGACUCAUAGCCCUCUCUGUGCCCGAGAGAGAGACUGUAAAGGAAUGUGUCACCAUCCAUGCAUAUGAAGCCGAUGCCUGCACCCCAAGGCCUCCGGCACCCUGGUGUGGUUUCCAGGCACUGGGUGGGUUGCAGGGGGACCUGCCGGGAAAGGGCUGGGAGACGCCCAAGGGUGGAGACUGGGGCAAGGGCCAGCCCACACCAGGUGCCAAAAACUACGGGAUGCUUCCGGGGCAGGGACCAUGGGGGCCCAUGAGCAAGCAGGGCUGUGGGGAACUAGAACUGACCAGACCUCCCUUGGGGCCCCACUUGGCUCCAGGAAGAUGCUCCUGCUAGCAGGACCAAGGAGAAGCAGAGUCCCCCAGGGAUGGAAGUUAGAGGAGGUGACAGGCAGGGCUAGGCAGAGGGAAGGAAGGGGGUGCCUGGCUUAGGGCUGCUCCCUGGGGAGGCCUCUCUGCCCAGGGCAGCCUCCGUGAAGAUGCCUGGGACCCAGCCCCUUGCUGAGCCUUGCUUCUCUUCCCUCUUGUAAGUUCCCACUCCAGGGGAAGUAUGUCUUUCCCCAGCCCAGUGGACAACCCCAGUGAGUUCUGUCCUUGGCCUCUUUCAAGGGGAACCACCUCAAGUUAGCACUGUACAGACCCAGCCAAGCUGCUUACAAUCAGCCCCAACACGCAGAAACGAC
rnacentral:lncRNA from 1 species